ensembl:snRNA U1 U1 spliceosomal RNA
AUACUUACCUGGCAGGGGAAAUAACCACGACCAUGAAGAUGGUUUUCUCAGGGUAAGGCUUCAUCUAUUGCACUCCCAGAUGUGUUGACCCCUGAGAUUUCCCAAAAUGCAGGAAACUCAGCUGCAUAAUUUGUGAUAGUAGAGGGCUACAUUCGUACUCUUCCC